rnacentral:rRNA from 1 species
AUUGAACGCUGACGGCAGGCCUAACACAUGCAAGUCGAACGAGUGGCGGACGGGUGAGUAAUGUCUGGGAAACUGCCUGAUGGCGGGGGAUAACUACUGGAAAAGGUAGCUACUACCGCAUACCAUCAGAUGUACCCAGAUGGGAUUAGCUAGUGGGUGGGGUAACGGCUCACCAAGUCGACGAUCCCUAGCUGGUCUGCGAGGCUGACCAGCCACACUGGAACUGAGACACGGUCCAGAUUCCUACGGGAGGAAGCAGUGGUGAAUAUUGCACAAUGGGCGAAAGCCUGAUGCAGCCAUGCCGAGUGUAUGAAGAAGGCCUUCGGGUUGUAAAGUACUUUCAGCGGGGAGGCGUUACCCGCAGAAGAAGCACCGGCUAACUCCGUGCCAGCAGCCGCGGUAAUUC